rnacentral:rRNA from 1 species
GACGAACGCUGGCGGCGUGCCUAAUACAUGCAAGUAGAACGCAGUCGCGAAGGGGGGAGUAACGCGUAGGUGACUGCCUCAUAGGGGGGGAUAACUAUUGGAAACGAUAGCAAAUACCGCAUAAUGUGAGAUGGACCGGCGUGGUAGUAGCUAGGUGGUGAGGUAAAGGCUCACCAAGACGACGAUACAUAGCCGACGGGAGAGGGUGAUCGGCCCCACGGUGACUGAGACACGGCCCAGACUCCUACGGUGUGCAGCGGUAGGGAAUCUUCGGCGAGGUACGGCAGUCUGACCGCGCAACGCCGCGUGAGUGAAGAAGUUUUUCGGAUCGUAGAGCUCUGUUGUUCGAUGAGCGGUACCUAACCAGAAAGCGACGGCUAACUACGUGCCAGCCGCCGCGGUAAUAC